rnacentral:lncRNA from 1 species
GCACCAGAGCAAUCUGCAAAUCUUCUCUACAACACUAUUCUUCAUUUGGUGCUGUUCUUGUUCUCAUAAGAAGUAAAACGUGGCCUUUUCUUUCCUUUAUGUUUCCCCUGUGGGGAGCAGGAUAACCUUAGCUUUCUAACUGUAAUUAGAAUUUGAACAUUGAGGAGGACAUGAUUCAGUGCAAGCUUACUUACGUUCUGUAUUGUCUUUUUGGAUUGAUGAUGACAUGUUCUGAAAGUCCGUCAGGCUUGUUAACGUGCUAGGCACUCAUGCCAAGUUCACUGAUUCAUUGCUGAGGGUGUGGAGAUCCAAGAUUCUAAACAGGAUGUUACUUUCCCAUUCUUUUGUGUUAAGUAUGUACAAGGCAAAUAGAAAGGUCAAACAGACAAUCGAAGUUGACUGUUCAAGCCAGAAUUUUUUAAUUGAAUGGAUGAAAGAAGCAGCAUAGAUCAUGUGGCCUGGAGAGGAAAACAACAGCAAGUAGAAGAAAGAGAUUUAAUUGUAAAGUCCUGCUGGCAAAGUGAAUUUUUGUUACCCGAGUGUUUAAAAUGAGAGACGGAUCCACAAUUUGGAAACCUAGGGAAAAAGUUUUGCAUGGCUCCUUGACCCUUUCAAGGAAAGGGGUUGCGUGAUGUUGCUGGCUGUGAGAUCGUGGAACGGGCCUGGGUGACCCAAGUUGUCCCUUCCAGCUCUCAUUUCUUGUUGCUUGGAGUUGGGAUGGGGACUGUGAAGAACAGAACAAGCAUUUUUAAAAGGGCUAUAUAAGCCCUUGGAAAAAUUUAUUACUAAGCAGAUAAAUACUUUCUUUAAAGCAAAAUUGCUCUUUACUUUCCAGGAGGCUUAUCUUGAAGUUUCCCAGUGUCAUAUCACAUAUGAAGGGGCACAGAUUGUUGAAUCAAAACCCAGUGUGUGAUUUCAAAGGGUAAAUUUCACUGUGCUUUCACCUCAGCUGCCCUGAGCCAUGUGGAGACAUAUGGAGUCCCUGACUUCUGGAGAGAGGACCUUUAGCCCAUCUGGGGUUCAUUUGCAUCCAUCCCCAGGGAUGACAGAAAGACACAAGGAAGAAAGGACAAGGAUGGCAACUGAGGCAGCAAUGGAGAAGUUCCAGAAGGAUUGCCGAGACAAGGAAGAUGCCUGGGCACAGAAGCUGUGAGAUGUACAUUAACUUUUGGGGGUGUCCCAGAGGAAAGCUAUUUUUCCCCAAGUAUCCCAAGUAUUCAGAGUAUCCAAGGAUUUUAAGCUAAAGAUGAUGUUUGAGUUUGGACAAGGGUUUGAGGACAUGACAACUGAAAAAAGGGAGAAGACUGCACAAUCAUCUCAAGGUUUGCAAAUGCCUGCCCAAAGAAAAGGAGUAUGGGUGUUGAAACAAGGAGGGUGACCCACGAAAGCAAGUAACCACAAGGGUAAGGCAAAGGAAGAAAUUAUCUAGUG